GUGGGAGGCUUGGAAGUGUGGACGCCAGUCUGCAUGGAGCCGACCUUGAAAUACCACCCUUUAAUGUUUGAUGUUCUAACGUGGACCCGUGAUCCGGGUUGCGGACAGUGUCUGGUGGGUAGUUUGACUGGGGCGGUCUCCUCCUAAAGAGUAACGGAGGAGCACGAAGGUUGGCUAAUCCUGGUCGGACAUCAGGAGGUUAGUGCAAUGGCAUAAGCCAGCUUGACUGCGAGCGUGACGGCGCGAGCAGGUGCGAAAGCAGGUCAUAGUGAUCCGGUGGUUCUGAAUGGAAGGGCCAUCGCUCAACGGAUAAAAGGUACUCCGGGGAUAACAGGCUGAUACCGCCCAAGAGUUCAUAUCGACGGCGGUGUUUGGCACCUCGAUGUCGGCUCAUCACAUCCUGGGGCUGAAGUAGGUCCCAAGGGUAUGGCUGUUCGCCAUUUAAAGUGGUACGCGAGCUGGGUUUAGAACGUCGUGAGACAGUUCGGUCCCUAUCUGCCGUGGGCGCUGGAGAACUGAGGGGGGCUGCUCCUAGUACGAGAGGACCGGAGUGGACGCAUCACUGGUGUUCGGGUUGUCAUGCCAAUGGCACUGCCCGGUAGCUAAAUGCGGAAGAGAUAAGUGCUGAAAGCAUCUAAGCACGAAACUUGCC
rnacentral:rRNA from 1 species